AAUGUUGAAGCUCACUCACAACCUAUCUUUUUCUUCACUAGUACCCCUACAAUACACCUCCAUGAACGUCCAAGGCUCCCCACCACCACUCUGUUCAAAUAAACAGGACAAAGACACCCUACCCACCUCCGACUCCUUACAUUUAAAUUUUUCCCUGUCCCACAUUACUAAUACUCCCCCCAGCCGCACCCACAGCUGGGAUAUACACCCACUCCACCUUUUUAUUCUGCCAUAAACCGCUAAUAAUAUUCUGUUCAACAUCCUCCAUUUUGGUUUCUUGAACACAACCCACAUCUGGCUUCCAUUUUCUUAAACACGCUCUAAUCACACCCCUUUUCCUCCUAUCAUUUAGUCACCUCACAUUUCAAGAAAUAGUUUUUUUGAUCAUGGAACUGACUCUGGAAAUAGAACCUCCUCUCCCUUCCUACUGCUUUUUUUCCCUUCAUAAUUCACUGUCCACUGAGGUCUUUUUAGCUACCUGCAUUGCCCUUCCCCCUGCUUCUUUUUAAUUUUUUUCUCAGAUUUUUUGCCUAAAUAUAUCAAUUCCAUCUCCUCUAUCAAAUUAAGUAUCCCUUCCUCCAAUCCAAGAAAAGACACCCCAAACAAUUUCAUUCGGAUUACUAUUUCAUUCUGCUUCCCUCCUCUGGCAUGUGCAUUCUUUCCUGGUUUCCUAGGAGAAUAUCGCAAUGAAUCAGCAUCACGUCUAGAACUUCUUCUCCUGGUUCAUCUAGAACCAUUAUGUCGUAGAGCUUCAACCCCGAAUCUCCAAACAUCGCAUCCUCAAGACCGUCCGUUUCCCCCUCAUGGUCAUCCUCUCCGUUACCCUCUGUGAAAUCUCCCUCCACAGAAACGACUUCAUCUCCGUCACUGCUCUCUUCCAAGUUCUCUGCAUCUUCCUUCCCCUUCUCUUCCCCCAUUUCGUCUCCUUCCUUCUCACCCGUACCCUGGCUUCCUCUUCUUCUGUUUUGUUUUUAGUUUCAUUUUCAGGCACAGACAGCAACACUGGGGUCAUCGGGUAUUUUUUUUUUGUGACCCGGAUUUGACCCAUUUUGACCUCCAGAUUUGAAUCCGUUUCCGAUCCGGUUUCCUACUCGGCCCAAGUUGGUCCACCCAUUUACCUUUUUCAGCCUAUAGCAGUCUCCUUCUUCCCCUCAGCCCAAAUAAUCCGCUCACCUUCCAGCCCAUUCAUCAUUUUUCCAUUAAACAAUUCCCGCCCAUUCAAGCUCACGUGACCUCCACCUGACCUAUUUUCAAUAUUCAACUUCACCCGACCCACAUCUUUUUGACCCGUCUCCUCCUGCUCAACCCAGUUUCCUCCCCACACUGGUUGAGACAAGAUUUCAGCAAACAAGACUCCGUGUCUCUUCUCCAAUCUUAGUUCAAGCUCGAUAUUACAGCCCAGGCAUCGAAUCACUAUAGCCAGCUUCAUCAUUUUAUCUCCAACUUCAUUCAUCGAAAUGCA
rnacentral:lncRNA from 1 species